rnacentral:rRNA from 1 species
UACGUAGGGUGCGAGCGUUGUCCGGAAUUAUUGGGCGUAAAGAGCUCGUAGGCGGCUUGUCGCGUCGACCGUGAAAACUCGCAGCUCAACUGCGAGCCUGCGGUCGAUACGGGCAGGCUAGAGUUCGGUAGGGGAGACUGGAAUUCCUGGUGUAGCGGUGAAAUGCGCAGAUAUCAGGAGGGAACACCGAGUGGCGAAGGCAGGU